rnacentral:rRNA from 1 species
UACGAAGGGGGGCUAGCGUUGCUCGGAAUCACUGGGCGUAAAGCGCACGUAGGCGGAUUGUUAAGUCAGGGGUGAAAUCCUGGAGCUCAACUCCAGAACUGCCUUUGAUACUGGCGAUCUCGAGUCCGGGAGAGGUGAGUGGAACUGCGAGUGUAGAGGUGAAAUUCGUAGAUAUUCGCAAGAACACCAGUGGCGAAGGCGGCUCACUGGCCCGGUACUGACGCUGAGGUGCGAAAGCGUGGGGAGCAAACAGGG